rnacentral:rRNA from 1 species
AUUGAACGCUGGCGGCAGGCCUAACACAUGCAAGUCGAACGAGCGGCGGACGGGUGAGUAAUGUCUGGGAAUCUGCCUGAUGGAGGGGGAUAACUACUGGAAACGGUAGCUAAUACCGCAUACCAUCAGAUGUGCCCAGAUGGGAUUAGCUUGUUGGAGGGGUAACGGCUCACCAAGGCGCCGAUCUCUAGCUGGUCUGAGAGGAUGACCAGCCACACUGGAACUGAGACACGGUCCAGACUCCUACGGGAGGCAGCAGUGGGGAAUAUUGCACAAUGGGCGAAAGCCUGAUGCAGCCAUGCCGCGUGUAUGAAGAAGGCCUUCGGGUUGUAAAGUACUUUCAGCGGGGAGGCGUUACCCACAGAAGAAGCACCGGCUAACUCCGUGCCAGCCGCCGCGGUAAUUC